GACGAACGCUAGCGGCGUGCUUAACACAUGCAAGUCGAACGGAAAGGCCCUGCUUUUGUGGGGUGCUCGAGUGGCGAACGGGUGAGUAACACGUGAGUAACCUGCCCUUGACUUUGGGAUAACUUCAGGAAACUGGGGCUAAUACCGGAUAGGAGCUCCUGCUGCAUGGUGGGGGAUGGAAAGUUUCGGCGGUUGGGGAUGGACUCGCGGCUUAUCAGCUUGUUGGUGGGGUAGUGGCUUACCAAGGCUUUGACGGGUAGCCGGCCUGAGAGGGUGACCGGCCACAUUGGGACUGAGAUACGGCCCAGACUCCUACGGGAGGCAGCAGUGGGGAAUAUUGCACAAUGGGCGGAAGCCUGAUGCAGCAACGCCGCGUGCGGGAUGACGGCCUUCGGGUUGUAAACCGCUUUCGCCUGUGACGAAGCGUGAGUGACGGUAAUGGGUAAAGAAGCACCGGCUAACUACGUG
rnacentral:rRNA from 1 species